CAAUGGUAUUUACCACUGACAAACCGCGAUCCUCUGCUUUUGACGGUGUCUUUCACCCCCCUGGAUUUUCGAUAAAAAAUGUUUUUGUUUCCAGCUAAAAAUAUUUUUCUCCUACUUUGCUUGUUUUACAAAGUCGAGGAAAAAAUGCCUUCCUUGUGGAUGCUGCAAUACGCUAUAAACGAAGAGUAGAGUAUUUUCUUCAGGUAAGAUUUUUUUAAAAACUUUUCAGAUGGCUAAAAAAAUUUGUGUGUAUGAAAUUUUGCUUUUGUUUCAAGCUCUGGCUUUUGUGUUUUUACUCUCGGUUUUUAUUGCCAGUUACAGUAGUUUUAAAUAUUUUGUGUCCUUCUAUAUACUAUUUAUUAAAACCCUUACACUUACAAUAAGCAUUGUAAGCAUUUAGUAAGCUCUGGAUUUUAAUAUUUUAUAUAAUAUUAAUAAAUAUGUUUCCUGUGACCAUCUUAACUUUAUAUUAUUAAACUGCUAGUCUUUGCCAGAUUUUGUAUUAAACAGCAGUUGCCUACUGUGCAAUACUGCAGUUAGUCAUGUAUAUGUGUGGUGUAGGAGGUGUGCACAACCAAUUUGUAUAUGGCACUUUUGACAGCAGCUUGAGUUGUAAUGGCCAUGGGGCAACUUUUUGCUGCAAUAAAUCACUAUUUUGUGCAUAUACCAUCUCUGCAAUACAAGCAAAUGUUUUGUUGAUACCCUCAACACAAAGACCAAGCAUUCAUGGGUAAUUCCACAAUACAUUCACACCUCCCAAAAAGAGGAAUACAAGUCAACACCUUUCUCCUUCAGUUGUUUAAUAUAUGUCCUCAAACAUUUUACUAUGAUAGAGGGGUUUGUCCUGCUUCCCUCUUGAGAUGACAGCAAUAUCCUCUGUAGUGAGGGGUCUGAUAUUCUGUCUUAAUAAUCCUCACAAUGGGUAAUUCCAGAAAAGAUCCAUACUCCCCCCACAGAGGAAAUUUCUGCCAUCCAGAGGGGGAAGGAAGAAAAAUUGUUUCUGAUAAUGGUAAAUGUAUUAGGAUAUCCUAAGGGGGUAGGGGGUAAUAACUUCCUAAUUCCUCUGUGGGGGUGGUAUGGAUGUUUUCUGGAAUGACCCAAUGAUAGACUAGCUAACUAUGACAAUAUAUUUAAACAUUACUCACUUUUCUUAUUUAGGUUGAAACUUUAAUGUGGACAAGAAUGAAACACAAGGUCUUUGGAGGUUCAAAUAGUAGGAGUAGUGGUGUACUGGCCAGGACCAGUAGUACCCCCUAGUAAGAGUACCCCUAGAAGUUUCAAGAUACUGAACAGCAGAGAGCAAAUUAGUCAUAGCCAGUGGGGCAACAAAGUUAUUAGAACAGUUUAGAUUUUAA
rnacentral:lncRNA from 1 species